rnacentral:rRNA from 1 species
AUGUUCCAAGGUGAUAUCAUGGGCUACCUAGAGUCCGCUCUGGACGGAGGAGCUCACCCGAGCAGCUCCACUGCGACGGCUGGGCGCAGUCCGCGGCGACCACAACGCCCGCGGAGGUCAUCCCUGGACCGGUCCGGUCGGGAUCCUGCCGGAUCCAUGCACGCCGGCGCUCACGGAGGGCGGCAGUUGCCGCGGCGGCGGGCGGGAUGGUGGCGGCGUGAUGUUGAUGGUGAAGGGGUCACGCUGGGCGGUGGAGACGGCUACGCGCAGGGUGCUGGCGGGGUCCGGGGCGGCGCCGGCGAGUUGGGAUUGGGGGUUUCCUGGGGCGGCGGCGCCUUGCAUUGCCGGGGCAGCGGCAGCGGCGGGCGGGGUCACCGAUAUAUUGAACUAAAAAAUCCCACCCCCACCCUGCCGACUAACCCCCAUCUUACCUUCUCCUGGUCGGCGCCGCCCGCCCACCACCUCCUCCCCAGCUCCCGGCGCCCCGUCCCUACCACCGUCUUGGCGACCCUCCCCCACCCCCGCAACGGACCGUCGCAUCCGCGUUGCUGCAUCCCGCGGCCACUGCGCGCCGUCCAACUCGGCAGUCCAACUGCUUGCUUCAUGCUCGGUCGCUCAAGGAGCUGCGUGAAGGUCACCCCGCGCUCCACCUUCCGGACACGCGACCCCGUCGCCGUGCUCCUGCAGCCACCUCCGGGGCGGUGCGCCCGGCCUCCUCUCUCCUCCUGCCACCUCCUAGCGCCGCGCCGAGCACACCCCGGGCUGCCUCUUCCUCUUGCUUACUCCCGCACGAGGCACGCUGCGCCGAGCACGCACCCGGCCGCCCCCCACCUCCGUUCAUUUUACAGGUCAAGGACAAUCCUGAAGCGCCUCCUCAAGCUCUGCGACGAUAACUGGGCGCCCAUCGAGGACGAGAGCUACCGCAUCCUUAUUGACACCAUACUGGGUGGCAAAAGCAAUGAACCAAUACCUACCACUACCCGUCAUCCUUUCCAAAUUGCAGUUUUCACAUCAGGUGACGUGCCAAAAAGAGUCCAAGGCUCACAACCCAACGCGGGGUCAGACCAGAUGACCAACACCUCUCCUGCUCAGUAUGACAAGGAUGUCAGUGAUAAUGAAAACCUCCCUCUCAGCAGAGCGGCGGAGUGCAUACUUGCCAUCUACAUUUCAGAGCCCCAUCAGUUCAGUGAUCUCUCUCCCGUUUCAUGCGAUGAGCCCGUCCCCAGCACCGCCAGCCUCCUGUCCUUCCCUCCCGCUUCCACAUGCACCCACCGCCGCCACGACCACGUCUCCACCCUCCCCACGCCCGCCACCGCUGUGACCACCCCUCCCCCUCACGAUUUAUCGUUGAUAUCGCUGUAUUCGUGCUUGUUACGUGAGUUGCCUGAUGGAAGUUCUGCAACUGUCAGUCCAGAUGGAAGAAGGAUAUCCGUCCAAAGUGUGAGUUUUGCGACGUCGACGUGCAAAUUCUACAAUUUAUCCGUCCAGAUGGGAGAAGGAGAUCAGUCCAACCGACGCAUCUGA